UUCAAUAUUGUAGUAUUUGUAUGUUUGAUGCAUUUUACAAUCAGUUGUGUAUGUAUGUCAAAGAUAUAGAUUUGUACCUUUUUGACUGCUGCCAGGAUGCCAAUUAUUUUUUUUCUCACCAUUCUGUAUAUUUUAGUUACUGACCCGAUGUUAUCAAUAAAAGGGAACUAUAAACAACUAUCCUAUAAGGUGAAGGUUUGGCUAGCUAUAAAACCAGGUUAAACAUUUUCUUCGGUAAAUGCCUCAUACUCCGUAAAGUGAUUGUUUCCGUUCCUGAACUAUUUUCCUUUACUCCACCAUUUAGUGAAAGUAGUAUGCGGACCCGUAUGCGGAUCGGAGCUGGAACUGGCGGGGAGUCUAAAAAUGCCUGUACCAAGUCAGGAACAAUGUUUUCAAUCGUUCCGCUGUUUGAUAUAGUCGAGUGUUUGCUUAAGUUAGGUUUUACGAACUUCACCCUUUUCAAAAUUUACCUUGCAGUUCGGUAGUUGUGUUAAUAUGUUUGUCACGAUAUAACAACGACAGAAAAUCAUUUCAUCCAUAAUACAAGCAAAAGUACAAGUAGUUUAAAUUUCUUAGAUCUUAUAUGUCGCAAUAUUAGACAUUGCGGCAUCGAAAUCACCAACCACACAGGAUCCAUAUCUGAUACAUAAAAACAUUAACAAAAGCAGCACGAUACUUUUUAUUUUUACUAUUCCAAUGUCAAUGCUUGUAGCUGAUACAACUGAACACUAAACAUGAACUAUGAUUGGAGUUAGAGAAUGAUAAGUUUAACAAAAAAAGGUAUUCCAAACUAUUAACGGAUGCCAUAUAUUAAAAUACUUGUCAAGAGGUCAUUCAAUUGACGUGUUUAACUGCAACUAUUAUGAUUAAGUAUCACAAAUGCUUAUACAUGUAGAAAAGGUGAAGUAUAUUAUACAGAUGAGGCCAUCCGAGGUUGUCAGCAGUCACUUUUUGUUGAUCAUCGAUCACGCCGUUGCAAGUUGUGUAUGGUUUCCAUUGAAAUUAGAAUGGGAACUUUAUACAUAAUUAACCUUAUAUUUAGCGGAGAAAAUCUGCAAUUUUGAAAUGUUACACAGUUCUUUCCAAGUUAAUGUUUAUUUUGGUAUAUUCCCUAAAAUUAUUCAUAUAUCAAUUCAAUAAGACAGCAAUUGUGUGUGUACGUAUAUUCAUGUGUAGAUCGACACUCUCGUUUUAUCUUUCUGCUAGUUGCAUUGUGUUCGUGUUGAGUACAUAUUGAAUGAAUCAAUCCCUUUCCAACUGAUUUUUAUAUUUACUUUUAAUUAUUAGCUGGUAAACUAUUGUCUGGUGUAAAUGAGCAAGUUAAGUGUUUACAAGAAUGUUUUAAAAUAAAAAUGCAUGUAUGUGUUAAAUAAAAUCAGAACUAUUAUCUUCUGAUGUUUCGUUUGUCACAUGGCUUUGAACUAACUGCUUUUUUUUAAGGUUGUACACUAUGUAUUAUCAAAAUAACAAAUCUU
rnacentral:lncRNA from 1 species